GACAGAGGGUGCAAACGUUGCUCGGAAUUACUGGGCGUAGAGGGCUCGUAGGUGGCCAACUAAGUCAGACGUGAAAUCCCUCAGCUUAACUGGGGAACUGCGUCUGAUACUGGAUGGCUUGAGUUUGGGAGAGGGAUGCGGAAUUCCAGGUGUAGCGGUGAAAUGCGUAGAUAUCGGGAGGAAUACCUAUGGCGAAAGCAGGCUACUGGACCGUCACUGACUCUGAUCUGCGAAAGCUAGGGGAGCAAACAGGAU
rnacentral:rRNA from 1 species